GUAGGGCCUGAGAUAGCUGUUUGGGCCUGAGAUGCUGCAUUUCUAACAAACACCCAGGUGAAGCCUAUACUACUGACCCAAUUUUGAGUGAGAACCAGGCUGUAACUGCUUGCAUCUAAGCAUAUGUUCCUGAAGAAAUGGUCAGAUUUGUAGCCAUAAAUCAUAGGAAUGCAACCAUAUUGAAUUUCAAAGCCCCAAGCGUACUAUCUGAUACUACUCUAUCAUGGUCAUAUCGAAGAGGCUACUGAGGCCAGCUAUUCUCUUGUGCCCUUCCAGGAAACCCAAGGAAGCCUGGGGAAUCAGAGCCAUCUCCAUCCGCUGGCAGCCUUUGCACUACCUUUUUACUACUUUGGGAAUAAAUCAAAGCAUGAGCAAUCUUGACUCGAAUCUGCUCUCAUCCAUCCUUGAUUCUGAACCAUGACUCUAAUCCAGCCUUGUUCAUGUGCUACCUGAAUUCAGAGAACUUAAAAAAGGUAGUGAAGGGCGCCUGGGUGGCUCAGUGGAUUAAAGCCCCUGCCUUCAGCUUGGGUCAUGAUCCUAGGGUCCUGGGAUCGAGCCCCACAUCGGGCUUUCUGCUGAGCGGAGAGCCUGCUUCCCUUCCUCUCUCUGCCUGCCUCUCUGCCUGAUUGUGAUCUCUGUCUGUCAAUAAUAAAAUA